rnacentral:rRNA from 1 species
GACAGAGGGUGCAAACGUUGUUCGGAAUUACUGGGCGUAAAGCGAGUGUAGGCGGUCUUCUAAGUCGGAUGUGAAAGCCCCGGGCUCAACCCGGGAAGUGCACUCGAUACUGGAAGGCUAGAGUAUCGGAGAGGUUGGUGGAAUUCUCGGUGUAGAGGUGAAAUUCGUAGAUAUCGAGAGGAACACCGGUGGCGAAGGCGGCCAACUGGACGAAUACUGACGCUGAGACUCGAAAGCGUGGGGAGCAAACAGG